CUUAACCUGUUUGAUUUGACUUCUAAUGGGUCAGGGGAGACGGGGUAUCAAGCUUUAUAUAUCUAUUUAGCUUGGCUUAUAUUGGAGGCUUAUAAUACUUGAAUAUUUUAGAAUGUUUCUACUAAUUCCCGGGAUCUUAUGUGUCAGCUAGUAGUGAUGUAUCAUACGGCCCCAAAUUUGUCAACCACUGAUUGUGCUCCAUCAAAAAAUUAGGAUUGU
rnacentral:lncRNA from 1 species